GUAGUCAUAUGCUUGUCUCAAAGAUUAAGCCAUGCAUGUCUAAGUAUAAACUAAUUUAUACAGUGAAACUGCGAUGGCUCAUUAAAUCAGUUAUAGUUUAUUUGAUAUUCACUUACUACUUGGAUAACCGUGGUAAUUCUGCAGCUAAUACAUGCGUUAAAGCCCGACUUCUGGAAGGGCCGUACUUAUUAGAUUUAAGCCAACCCUAGCAAUAGGAUUAAGGUUGAUUCAUGAUAAUUUCUCGAAUCGUAUGACUUUGUGUCGACGAUGGUUCAUUCAAAUUUCCGCCCUAUCAACUUUCGAUUGUAGUGUAUUGGACUACAAUGGUUUCAACGGGUAACGGGGAAU
rnacentral:rRNA from 1 species